AGUUCCAUGGUGUAAUGGUUAACACUCCAGAUUUUGAAUCUGGCGAUCCGAGUUCAAGUCUUGGUGGAACCU
rnacentral:tRNA from 1 species